GAUGAACGCUGGCGGCGUGCCUAAUACAUGCAAGUCGAGCGAACAGAUGAGGAGCUUGCUCCUCUGACGUUAGCGGCGGACGGGUGAGUAACACGUGGAUAACCUACCUAUAAGACUGGGAUAACUUCGGGAAACCGGAGCUAAUACCGGAUAAUAUAUUGAACCGCAUGGUUCAAUAGUGAAAGACGGUUUUGCUGUCACUUAUAGAUGGAUCCGCGCCGCAUUAGCUAGUUGGUAAGGUAACGGCUUACCAAGGCAACGAUGCGUAGCCGACCUGAGAGGGUGAUCGGCCACACGGGAACUGAGACACGGUCCAGACUACUAAGGGAGGCAGCAGUAGGGAAUCUUACGCAAUGGGCGAAAGCCUGACGGAGCAACGCCGCGUGAGUGAUGAAGGUCUUCGGAGCGUAAAACUCUGUUAUUAGGGAAGAACAAAUGUGUAAGUAACUAUGCACGGCUUGACGGUAACUAAUCAGAAAGCCACGGCUAACUACGUG
rnacentral:rRNA from 1 species